rnacentral:rRNA from 1 species
UCCGGUUGAUCCUGGCGGAGGUUACUGCUAUCGAGGUUCGACUAAGCCAUGCGAGUCGAAUGUAGCAAUACAUGGCGUACUGCUCAGUAACACGUGGACAACCUACCCUUAGGUCGGGGAUAAACCCGGGAAACUGGGUAUAAUACCCGAUAGUCCUCGGAUGCUGGAAUGCACCGAGGUCUAAAGCUCCGGCGCCUAAGGAUGGGUCUGCGGCCUAUCAGGUAGUAGUGGGUGUAGCGUACCUACUAGCCUACGACGGGUACGGGUUGUGAGAGCAAGAGCCUGGAGAUGGAUUCUGAGACACGAAUCCAGGCCCUACGGGGUGCAGCAGGCGCGAAAACUUUACAAUGCUGGAAACAGCGAUAAGGGGACCUUGAGUGCCAGGUUACAAAUCUGGCUGUCGUGAUGCCUAAAAAGCAUUGCAUAGCAAGGGCCGGGCAAGACCGGUGCCAGCCGCCGCGGUAACACCGGCGGCUCGAGUGGUAACCGCUAUUAUUGGGUCUAAAGGGUCUGUAGCCGGCCGGAUAAGUCUUUUGGGAAAUCUGGCAGCUUAACUGUCAGGCUUUCAGAGGAUACUGUCUGGCUCGAGGCCGGGAGAGGUGAGAGGUACUUCAGGGGUAGGGGUGAAAUCUUGUAAUCCUUGAAGGACCACCAGUGGCGAAGGCGUCUCACCAGAACGGACCUGACGGCAAGGGAC